rnacentral:rRNA from 1 species
UACGAAGGGGGCUAGCGUUGCUCGGAAUCACUUGGGCGUAAAGCGCACGUAGGCGGCUUCUUAAGUCAGGGGUGAAAUCCUGGAGCUCAACUCCAGAACUGCCUUUGAUACUGGGAGGCUCGAGUCCGGAAGAGGUGAGUGGAACUGCGAGUGUAGAGGUGAAAUUCGUAGAUAUUCGCAAGAACACCAGUGGCGAAGGCGGCUCACUGGUCCGGUACUGACGCUGAGGUGCGAAAGCGUGGGGAGCAAACAGG